rnacentral:rRNA from 1 species
AACAGGAUUAGAUACCCUGGUAGUCCACGCCCUAAACGUUGAUUACUCGUUGUUGGCGAUAUACUGUCAGCGACUAAGCUAAAGCGUUAAGUAAUCCACCUGGGAAGUACGACCGCAAGGUUGAAACUCAAAGGAAUUGACGGGGGCCCGCACAAGCGGAGGAGCAUGUGGUUUAAUUCGAUGAUACGCGAGGAACCUUACCUGGGCUUGAAAGUUAGUGACCGCUCCUGAAAGGGAGCUUCUCUUCGGAGCACAAAACUAGGUGCUGCAUGGCUGUCGUCAGCUCGUGCCGUGAGGUGUUGGGUUAAGUCCCGCAACGAGCGCAACCCCUUUCUUUAGUUGCCAUCAGGUUAUGCUGGGGACUCUAAAGAUACUGCCUAUGUAAAUAGUGAGGAAGGUGGGGACGACGUCAAGUCAUCAUGGCCCUUACGUCCAGGGCUACACACGUGCUACAAUGGCAGUCACAAAUGGAUGCUACUUAGUAAUAAGAUGCUAAUCCCAAAAAGAUUGUCUCAGUUCGGAUUGAGGUCUGCAACUCGACCUCAUGAAGCUGGAUUCGCUAGUAAUCGCAUAUCAGCAAUGAUGCGGUGAAUACGUUCCCGGGCCUUGUACACACCGCCCGUCAAGCCAUGGAAGAUGGGAGCACUUGAAGUCGAUAACCGCAAGGAGUCGCCUAGGGUGAUACCGUUGACUGGGGCUAAGUCGUAACAAGGUAACC